GUCAGAAUGAAGUUCAAAGAAAUAUAUUUUUUUCUUCAAAACCUUUUACAUUUCAAAUGUUUUGGGAACGUGAAAAAGCCCUUCCUGUAGUUUAAAGGAAGAAUCUGCGAAGAGAAUCAUCUCCCUAUUCCUAUGCUUGGUUGACCCCAGGAGCAAGUUUCGUUAUGUUGGAACAGCAAAUUGUCUUCCAUUUUGAUGCUGGUUCACCUUUUGCCACCCUCUCAAGUCACCGCCACGUAAGACCGGGAAAGAUCUCAGCUAGGCAAACGUGAUCGUCUUGUGAAAUUCAUCAAGACUGUUACCAGUAUCCAAGGGCAGUUGGAUGGCAUUCGAGAGAGUCUCCAGCUGUAUCUACUUCUUGUUGGGCUGAUGAGAAGUAGGGUCCAGUCUUGUUUUAUUGUAAUUGUCCAAUAUGCUCUACUCUGUAAGACCUGUCCAUUGUGUAUAGCUUUCUGCAAAACACUGUCUAUGAUAUAGAUGCAGAAACCACCAAAUGAUCAUGAUCACAAGUGUAAUAUUGUAAAUGUAAGUGUAUUAUUUAAAUAGGAGAUUGAAAAAAUAAAAUUGUGAGACAUGAGUA